rnacentral:rRNA from 1 species
CAGCCGCCGCGGGAAUACGGAGGGGGCUAGCGUUGUUCGGAAUUACUGGGCGUAAAGCGCACGUAGGCGGCUUUGUAAGUUAGAGGUGAAAGCCCGGAGCUCAACUCCGGAAUUGCCUUUAAGACUGCAGAGCUAGCAGGUGAGAGAGGUGAGUGGAAUUCCGAGUGUAGAGGUGAAAUUCGUAGAUAUUCGGAAGAACACCAGUGGCGAAGGCGGCUCACUGGCUCAUACUGGACGCUGAGGUGCGAAAGCGUGGGGAGCAAACAGGAUUAGAUACCCGCGUAGUCCCUGUCUCUUAUAC